AGAACCUUCGGGGGACGAUAACGGCGUCGAGCGGCGGACGGGUGAGUAAUGCCUAGGAAAUUGCCCUGAUGUGGGGGAUAACCAUUGGAAACGAUGGCUAAUACCGCAUGAUGCCUACGGGCCAAAGAGGGGGACCUUCGGGCCUCUCGCGUCAGGAUAUGCCUAGGUGGGAUUAGCUAGUUGGUGAGGUAAGGGCUCACCAAGGCGACGAUCCCUAGCUGGUCUGAGAGGAUGAUCAGCCACACUGGAACUGA
rnacentral:rRNA from 1 species